AUGCUCACUUCGGCAGCACAUAUACUAAAAUUGGAACGAUACAGAGAAGAUUAGCAUGGCCCCUGCACAAGAAUGACACACAAAUUCAUGAAGCGUUCCAUAUUUAA
rnacentral:snRNA from 1 species